UUUUUUUUUUUUUUGGAGACGGAGUCUCGCUCUGUUGCCCAGGCUGGAGUGCAGUGGCCGGAUCUCAGCUCACUGCAAGCUCCGCCUCCCGGGUCUACGCCAUUCUCCUGCCUCAGCCUCCCGAGUAGCUGGGACUACAGGCGCCCGCCACCUCGCCCGGCUAGUUUUUUGUAUUUUUUAGUAGAGAUGGGGUUUCACUGUGUUAGCCAGGAUGGUCUCGAUCUCCUGACCCCGUGAUCCGCCCGUCUCGGCCUCCCAAAGUGCUGGGAUUACAGGCUUGAGCCACCGCGCCCGGCAAACAUAGUUUUCAUAUUCUGUUAAUGUAAUCAGUUUUUUUACUUUUGUAUUGAAACAAUAGAUUUACCUUUUACCAUGUUAAGUUGAUGACAUCUGUACAAAAAUAUAAAUUUUUCCUUUGAGAAAAUGGAAACGCUAUAUUCUUCUCUUUAACAGCCUCGGUGGCUUUCAGGCUGUCUGUGUGUUGUAUCGAUGAUGGACAUUUAGACUUCAAGGUAUAAUUUCCAGUAAAGAAAAGUCAUUUUAUUUCCAUCUGAAUAAGCACUCUAUCACACUAACCAAGUCAAACAAAGUUAUUAUCUGGCUUUUUGCCAAGGCAUAAAAAAAUACAAAGGUCAUAUUUUUAAUAGCUUUGUACUCUAUAGUAAUCAAAUUGAAAAGCCUGGAGAAAUAAACUCCUUGAAUUUCCCCGUGCUCCCCGAGCACAUUUCACCACUGGCUUGCUGUUCUCAGGUGCAGAGCUACGGGCUUUCGGCUCACCAUCCAGCCUUAUCUCCGUUAUUAGCUUUGUACAUAAAGGCAUCGUGUUCUAAUCGUAAAGUGGCAGAAACCAGCUAAUAAGAAACAUGUCAAUUCAACUCCACCUUUGAAGACUCUACCAAAAGAUAACUUCCAGGCAAAUCCCAGCUCACGGGUGAACACGAUUACAGCGUGUAAACCUGGAUACACUGAAGUGUUAAUAGAUUACUCAGCUCUGCAUUCACGAAAAUGAGCGUCUGCUGUAUACUCCUCCUGUUUUGGGUGGCUGCGUGAGUUGCUGGGAACUCUGCACAGUUACCCCACACCGCUGCUGGGGUGGGUUCGCAAGUUCACUUUGAAAUCACGGGUCAUCCUGAGGACUGAAGAAUGUCUCAUGGAUGUGGUCAUCAAAAUAAGAACGACAAAAAGUAGUAGAAAAUGUUAUAAAGACAUUCCAUUGAAGAAUCACGAAAUUUAUAUUUUUGCUUAAAAAAAAAAGAUCUUUUUGUGGAAUGGGUUUGAGGACAUUCAACUGACCACACAAGACACACAUUUCAGGCAUGGCUAAUGCUUGUUUUGCCCCACAGGCAUUCUGAGAAUGAUGUUGCUCCCUGUAAGUAAACACCUUUCUUUGUACAUUUCUCCUUCCACAGAUCUUACUCUGGAGAUGUUAGGGUAACAGUAAAGUUUAUUUUUAUCUCUGUCAGGCACAUGCCGGGGAGCUGUCCGUCAGAGCCUUUUUAAUUCUGAAGCUCUGUACGCCCACUAAAAGUCAUUUAAUUCAUGUAUGCUAUAACUCUAGAAGUAAACGAAACUGUUAACUUGUUCACAACCCAUUAUCAACAGCUUUCAUCAAAACUUCAGACACUAUAAUUUAAAACAACAUUUAUUUCAGCUACUAAUCACUACAACCCAAUAGUUUAAGAUAGGGCUCUGCACACUUAUCUUCAAGAUCAGAUAGUGAGUAGCUUAGGUUUUGCAGAGCAAGAGGGAAAACGAGGAUAUUAUGUAGCUGCUUAUACAAUGUAGCCCUUUAUAAAUGUAAA
ensembl:lncRNA